rnacentral:pre_miRNA from 1 species
AAUAAUUACAGUUUUACACUGUUCGUAUAACGUUUGAUCGUUUAUUUUAUUUAAAAUUUUUUAUGAUUAACAUUUUUGUUGUUACUAGAUAAUAAAACAUGAAGAGCACUUUAUGUGCGAUUAUUUUUUUUUCUUUUUCAUAUUUUUUUUCAAAUAAGACAUAUAAUAAAACGUUGGACACGGAAACUCAUGACUAUACUUAUU